UUCUCAGUAGCUCAGUGGUAGAGUGGCUGGCUGUUAACUGACUACUCGUAGGUUCGAAUCCUACUUGGGGAA
rnacentral:tRNA from 1 species